rnacentral:rRNA from 1 species
CCUACGGGGGGCAGCAGUAGGGAAUCUUCCACAAUGGGCGAAAGCCUGAUGGAGCAACGCCGCGUGGGUGAAGAAGGUCUUCGGAUCGUAAAACUCUGUUGUUAGAGAAGAAAGUGCGUGAGAGUAACUGUUUAUGUAUCGACGGUAUCUAACCAGACAGCCACGGCUAACUCCGUGCCAGCAGCCGCGGUAAUACGUAGGUGGCAAGCGUUAUCCGGAUUUAUUGGGCGUAAAGGGAACGCAGGCGGUCUUUUAAGUCUUAUGUGAAAGCCUUCGGCUUAACCGGAGUAGUGCAUUGGAAACUGGGAGACUUGAGUGCAGGAGAGGAGAGUGGAACUCCAGGUGUAGCGGUGAAAUGCGUAGAUAUAAGGAAGAAUACCGGUGGCGAAGGCGGCUCUCUGGUCUGUAACUGACGCUGAGGUGCGAAAGCGUGGGUAGCAAACAGGAUUAGAUACCCGGGUAGUC